rnacentral:tRNA from 2 species
CAGGGAGUAGUUUAUUCGAAAAUGCCAGCUUUGGGAGUUGGUGAUGAAGGUUAGAUUCCUUUCUUCCUGA